rnacentral:misc_RNA from 1 species
CGCACAUUGCGCCCUCUGGUAUUCCGGAGGGCAUGCCUGUUCGAGCGUCAUUGUCACCCCUCAAGCUCGGCUUGUUGUUGGUUGCAGCGGGUCACACUGCUCUACCCAAAGAUAAUGACGGCGUCUGUGAGGACUCCUGUACACUGAGCUUUCGAGCACGUACUAGGCUAGAAUUCCAGACCCGGUCACCGUUUCCCCUCGUGGGAGACACCACUUUUUCACCAAGGUUGACCUCGGAUCAGGUAGGGAUACCCGCUGAACUUAA